rnacentral:rRNA from 1 species
AUGCCGCCGCGAAGAGAUGAAGCUGCAUACGACGAACCAUGGGCUCCAAGGCGGCGCCUUCAAGAAGGUUACGACACCGGAGCGUCGCCACCGCCCGAUCCGAGGAUCAGAGUUUCCCCUGGAGCAACACGACGGGCGAUGAGAGCCGCGGCGACGCUUUCAAGAAGGGAACGAGCUUCGCCGCCGCCGGUCCGUCCGACGAUAGAGCAGGUUUUCACCCCGGCCAACGCUCACCGCCUCCGAAUGCCACACCCCGGCAACCAUGCCGCCUGCACGGCCAUGGUCACCGGGCAGCACCGAGCCACAGGCUUUGCCCAAGAGCAUCGUGCUACCACCACCAGGGCCGCCGCCCCGGCAUCCAAGACCUUGACACCACCUCACCCGAGACCCGCCACUACCCCAACCAAAGAGACGAGCGGAAAGGCCCCACUGUGUCUUUAUGGUUAA